rnacentral:hammerhead_ribozyme from 1 species
GUACUGCUGAAGAGCACCAGAAUAGGACGAAACAACUGUCCAGUAC